CCCGUGGGGGGUGCCUAUACUUGCAAGUCGAACGAACUCUGGUAUUGAUUGUUGCUUGCAUCAUGAUUUACAUUUGAGUGAGUGGCGAACUGGUGAGUAACACGUGGGAAACCUGCCCAGAAGCGGGGGAUAACACCUGGAAACAGAUGCUAAUACCGCAUAACAACUUGGACCGCUUGGUCCGAGUUUGAAAGAUGGCUUCGGCUAUCACUUUUGGAUGGUCCCGCGGCGUAUUAGCUAGAUGGUGAGGUAACGGCUCACCAUGGCAAUGAUACGUAGCCGACCUGAAAGGGUAAUCGGCCCCAUUGGGACUGAAACACGGCCCAAACUCCUACGGGAGGCAGCAGUAGGGAAUCUUCCACAAUGGACGAAAGUCUGAUGGAGCAACGCCGCGUGAGUGAAAAAGGGUUUCGGCUCGUAAAAUUCUGUUGUUAAAGAAAAACAUAUCUGAAAGUAACUGUUCAGGUAUUGACGGUAUUUAACCAAAAAGCCACGGCUAACUACGUGCCAGCAGCCGCGGUAAUACGUAGGUGGCAAGCGUUGUCCGGAUUUAUUGGGCGUAAAGCGAGCGCAGGCGGUUUUUUAAGUCUGAUGUGAAAGCCUUCGGCUCAACCGAAGAAGUGCAUCGGAAACUGGGAAACUUGAGUGCAGAAGAGGACAGUGGAACUCCAUGUGUAGCGGUGAAAUGCGUAGAUAUAUGGAAGAACACCAGUGGCGAAGGCGGCUGUCUGGUCUGUAACUGACGCUGAGGCUCGAAAGUAUGGGUAGCAAACAGGAUUAGAUACCCUGGUAGUCCAUACCGUAAACGAUGAAUGCUAAGUGUUGGAGGGUUUCCGCCCUUCAGUGCUGCAGCUAACGCAUUAAAGCAUUCCGCCUGGGGGAGUACGGCCGCAAGGCUGAAAACUCAAAGGAAUUUGACGGGGGCCCCGCACAAGCGGUGAGCAUUGUGGUUUUAUUUCGAAGCUACGCGAAAACCUUACCAUGUUCUUGACCAUACUAUGCAAUCUAGAGAUUAGACGUUCCCUUUCGGGGACUUGAAUACAGGUGGGUGCAUGUCUGUCGUCAGCUCGUGUUCGUUGAAAUGUUGGGUUAAGUCCCUGCAACGAAGCGCAAAUCCUUAUUAUUCAGUUGCCAGCAAUAAGUUGGGCACUCUGGUGAGACUUGCCGUGACAAAGCCGGAAGAGGUGGGAGAUGGACCGUUCCAAUCCAUCAUGGCC
rnacentral:rRNA from 1 species